CACGCUCUUCCUAUCUCUUCCCAGACCAGCUACAGUAACAGAUCAUGAUGAGGUUCAUAGUCCUCGCCCUCGCUGUUUUGCUGGCAGGUACAUAAAGCCCUUUACUCCUCUCCACACCGUCAAAAAAUCCAUUUCUGAAUCAGCAUUUUUGUCUUGUUUUCCAGUUUAAAAUGUAA